rnacentral:rRNA from 1 species
UCAGGGAAACUUGUGCUAAUACCGUAUGUGCCCUUCGGGGGAAAGAUUUAUCGGCAAAGGAUCGGCCCGCGUUGGAUUAGCUAGUUGGUGAGGUAAAGGCUCACCAAGGCGACGAUCCAUAGCUGGUCUGAGAGGAUGAUCAGCCACACUGGGACUGAGACACGGCCCAGACUCCUACGGGAGGCAGCAGUGGGGAAUAUUGGACAAUGGGCGCAAGCCUGAUCCAGCCAUGCCGCGUGAGUGAUGAAGGCCCUAGGGUUGUAAAGCUCUUUCACCGGUGAAGAUAAUGACGGUAACCGGAGAAGAAGCCCCGGCUAACUUCGUGCCAGCAGCCGCGGUAAUACGAAGGGGGCUAGCGUUGUUCGGAUUUACUGGGCGUAA